rfam:Salmo salar isolate Sally breed double haploid chromosome ssa25, whole genome shotgun sequence.
UCAGUGGUCAUUUGUAAGUCGCUCUGGAUAAGAGCGUCUGCUAAAUGACUUAAA